CAAAUGUCUUAAGUUGUCAUCAAACUCGUUGAAGAAAAAUAGAAUUAAACGUUAUUCAAGAAAACUAAUAAAUCUUUACCCACAAGUUAUGUUAAAUAAGAAAAUAAAAUUAUCAUCCGACUUACUGCGAAAAAGAAAGGAUUGGAGUUCAAUGUGGUAUCUGGAUUAAGGAGUCUCUUGUGUUUGGGGCACUAACUAAUUUUCUGGAUUGUCUACAGGAUUCUUCUUACAGGAAAUUGAACUGCUUGUUCUUCGGAAAUAGGGUCUUGGAUGAUCUCGAAAUAGGUUGUAGGAUGAUUCUGUUUUUAUUUUAAUAUCACAUACAUUGGAGUACACGCCAAAUUUCAACAAUGAGUAAAGUUAGAAAAAUUCAAAUUUAAAUCAAGGAUUUCUUCCUCAAAAUAACGUUAAAACCUCAAACUAUGGAUGAUAAAUGUGCUUUAGGAGCUGAACUACAAUAAUUGAUACAUUUGGAAGUAAACAAAACGGUUUAUGAUAAGAUUUUCACCAACAAAAAAUCUCUCUGUCACAAAUUCUAGGUUAUGUUCUCUCGGUGAACUAAGAGAAUGUUAAAAUUCCCUUAUUCCUUUAUGAAACGUAAUAAAACUUCGUAUUCAACGUUGCCUUUUCUUGUUUUUAGACAUACAUUGGAGUACACGCCAAAUUUCAACAAUGAGUAAAGUUGGAAAAAUUCAAAUUUAAAUCAAGGAUUUCUUCCUCAAAAUAACGUUAAAACCUCAAAAGAUGGAUGAAAAAUGUGCUUUAGGAGCUGAACUAUAAUAAUUGAUACAUUUGGAAGUAAACAAAACGGUUUAUGAUAAGAUUUUCACCAACAAAAAAUCUCUCUGUCACAAAUUCUAGGUUAUGUUCUCUCGGUGAACUAAGAGAAUGUUAAAAUUAUUACAAUAUUUAAAACUUAAUGUUGUUAUGGAGA